rfam:Schistosoma haematobium scaffold505_2, whole genome shotgun sequence.
AGCUUUUCGGGUCCGUGCUGAGAUUUCGUCAGACACUUAUCUAUUAGGGCUGAUUAGACUUCCAAAAUAAGUGAAGUU